rnacentral:misc_RNA from 1 species
GUGUUCCCUGCCCUCUCGGGUAACCUACCACCCUUUGUUUAUUACACUUUGUUGCUUUGGCAAGCCUGCCCUCGGGCUGCUGGCUCCGGCCGGCGAGCGCUUGCCAGAGGACCUAAACUCUGUUUGUCUAUAAUGUCUGAGUACUAUAUAAUAGUUAAAACUUUCAACAACGGAUCUCUUGGUUCU